UAGAGUGUGGUGUAGUGUGGUAGCACGGAGAUUUUUGAGUUCUCAGGAGCGGGUUCGAUUCCCAUGGCUCUAG
rnacentral:tRNA from 1 species